rnacentral:rRNA from 1 species
UACGUAGGUGGCAAGCGUUGUCCGGAUUUAUUGGGUUUAAAGGGUGCGUAGGCGGUCUUAUAAGUCAGUGGUGAAAUACGGCAGCUCAACUGUCGAGGUGCCAUUGAUACUGUAGGACUUGAGUACAGACGAGGUAGGCGGAAUUGACGGUGUAGCGGUGAAAUGCUUAGAUAUCGUCAAGAACACCGAUAGCGAAGGCAGCUUACUAGGCUGUAAACUGACGCUGAGGCACGAAAGUGUGGGGGAUCAAAACAGGA